ACCCCGAAACUUUGCCUCAGGAGGACGGCGCGCGGCUGGCGAGCGGGCGAGGGGCAGCGGCGGCGGUGGCGGCGCGGAGAAGCGUGGAGCUGCCGGCGCCUCCUCCCCGGACUCGGUGGCGUCCCAGGAACUUCUGCUGAGUAUCCUGGUUUCCGAGGGAACCCUUUCGGCAAUGGUGAGGGCUGCGUUCCCUUCUCUGCCUUGCGGUCAACCAUGAACGGAUGGGUGUGAUGCCUGCUAGCCUAAAGGGCUCCUUCUGUGUGCUGCAGUCUUGUGGCGUUCUGCAGGCCCCCUGCCAGUGACCCCAGGCUUUUUAUGGCUGUGAGACUCUUUAAAAGCUCAGGGGUAAGACGUGACCUUUGGAGGUGACUAUAACUGAAGAUUGAAUUACAGAAGCCAAAAAAAUAAAUAAA